AUAUAGAUCCCACAAUGCGAAUUGUUUCAGGACAGGACAAUCUGUCUGAAAUGCUGUGUCUAGAGGAACCGGUUGGAAAGCAACUGUUGGGAAAGAGAUGAACAGGAAACAGUUGCCUGCAACGAUUACACCCGUGCAGGUAUUUCAACAUUUCUUGAACAGCACUACUCUAUAAGUAAAGGGAGCAUCCAGGUUGUAUCCAGAGCCCUCGCCUUUACACCGCCUCCACGGCUGCAAUCGUUGGGAGAGAUCUCAGAUAAAUCUUCAGCCAUGAGGAUUCUUUACUCCCUAUUUGCUCUAGUUUUUUUCCUCUUUCAAGUUGUUCCAGGGCACACUCAGAGCUGUCAAGAGCUGAGAGGUUUCUGCCAAGUUCCGCUAAGUAAGCCAUGCCGUUAUGCAUCCCUCCCAGCCAACUGUGGCAUCAAUGGGAGAUGCUGUGCAAGGCACACUCAGAGCUGUCAAGAGCUGGGAGGUUUCUGCCAAAUUCCGCUAAGUAAGCCAUGCCCUUAUGGAUCCCUUCCAGCCAACUGUGGCAUCAAUGCGAGAUGCUGUGCAAAAAAACCUCUGACCGUAGAGGACUGCGCAGCCCUGGGGGGUUACUGCCACGUUCCCUUGAGCGAGGAAUGUCCCUCUGGUGUCAGCUAUCCAGCCAACUGUGGUAUUAACGCAAGAUGCUGCAAACCGCUCUCCUGAAGGAAGACACGGGCCAUUCCUUGUGGAGCCCAAGCCACACGAUCAGGAGGUGAAAUACAUGGAAUAGUGAAAUCAUCCGCCAAUUAAACGCUGAUUAAACAUAAGAUUUCACAACGUGUGUCUUUCAUUCCGAAUGCCGAUUGCAAAUUGCAGUGUGGAGAUGAGAGUGGUGUUCACCUAAUCCUGUUCAGGAUUAGGAGAGUUCACAUAAUCCUGUGAACUCUGUUUGUUUACAUGAACAUAUCUGUGGUAGAAACACUCAUGACCAUGAUUUAAAGGAGUGACGUGCAGGAGGGGCGUCUUUUUCCCAACAGGUAGAAAUGAGGAAAGCAAUAGUCUAAAGGACAGGAUCCUCCACCGCCUUCUCACUCCACCUAUGGAGGUUGAUUGAACUGGCAGUUGAAUCUAAUCCCAUUGUUAGGAUAGGGAUAGGAUUCUCUUCAGUGGACAUCAUGCUACCAGGAAUUAGGAUUGCAUGAAGGUAAUGGGUUGACCAGCAUUGGUGGCUGGUGUUCCUUGCAGCUGGUGGGUCAUAAUGCAGAUGGGCAGAGCCAGGACUAAUCAAGUUGAGCUG
rnacentral:lncRNA from 1 species